rnacentral:rRNA from 1 species
GACGAACGCUGGCGGCGUGCUUAACACAUGCAAGUCGAACGGUGAAGCGCCUUCCUUUUUGGUGGGUGUGGAUGAGUGGCGAACGGGUGAGUAACACGUGAGUAACCUGCCCCCUUCUUCUGGAUAACCGCAUGAAAGUGUGGCUAAUACGGGAUAUUCUGGGUCUGUCGCAUGAUGGGUCUGGGAAAGAUAUUGUUUCGGUGGGGGAUGGGCUCGCGGCCUAUCAGCUUGUUGGUGGGGUGAUGGCCUACCAAGGCGGUGACGGGUAGCCGGCCUGAGAGGGUGGACGGUCACACUGGGACUGAGACACGGCCCAGACUCCUACGGGAGGCAGCAGUGGGGAAGAUUGCACAAUGGGCGCAAGCCUGAUGCAGCGACGCCGCGUGAGGGAUGGAGGCCUUCGGGUUGUGAACCUCUUUCGCCAGUGAAGCAGGCCUGCCUCGUUUGUGGGUGGGUUGACGGUAGCUGGAUAAGAAGCGCCGGCUAACUACGU